rnacentral:rRNA from 1 species
UACGUAGGGUCCGAGCGUUGUCCGGAAUUACUGGGCGUAAAGAGCUCGUAGGUGGUUUGUCGCGUUGUUCGUGAAAACUCACAGCUCAACUGUGGGCGUGCGGGCGAUACGGGCAGACUAGAGUACUGCAGGGGAGACUGGAAUUCCUGGUGUAGCGGUGGAAUGCGCAGAUAUCAGGAGGAACACCAACGGCGAAGGCAGCACUCUGGGCCGGUACUGACGCUGGAGGAGCGAAAAGCGUGGGGAGCGAACAGG